UACGUAGGGUGCGAGCGUUGUCCGGAAUUACUGGGCGUAAAGAGCUCGUAGGUGGUUUGUCGCGUUGUUCGUGAAAACUCACAGCUCAACUGUGGGCGUGCGGGCGAUACGGGCAGACUGGAGUACUGCAGGGGAGACUGGAAUUCCUGGUGUAGCGGUGGAAUGCGCAGAUAUCAGGAGGAACACCGGUGGCGAAGGCGGCGUUCUGGACUGUUUCUGACACUGAAAAACGAAAGCCAGGGGAGCAAACGGG
rnacentral:rRNA from 1 species